UACCUACGGGGGGCAGCAGUGAGGAAUAUUGGUCAAUGGCCGGAAGGCUGAACCAGCCAAGUCGCGUGAGGGACGACUGCCCUAUGGGUUGUAAACCUCUUUUAUAAGGGAAGAAUAAAUGCUACGUGUAGCAUGAUGCCUGUACCUUAUGAAUAAGCAUCGGCUAACUCCGUGCCAGCAGCCGCGGUAAUACGGAGGAUGCGAGCGUUAUCCGGAUUUAUUGGGUUUAAAGGGUGCGCAGGCGGUCUGUUAAGUCAGCGGUCAAAGCCCGGGGCUCAACCCCGGCCCGCCGUUGAAACUGGCAG
rnacentral:rRNA from 1 species